rnacentral:rRNA from 1 species
CACGUAUAGGAGGUCUUGCCUGCCCAGUGACAAGUUAAACGGCCGCGGUAUUUUGACCGUGCGAAGGUAGCGCAAUCACUUGUCUUUUAAAUGAAGACCUGUAUGAAUGGUGGAACGAGGGCUUAACUGUCUCCCCUUUCAAGUCAAUGAAAUUGAUCUGCCCGUGCAGAAGCGGACAUAAAACUACAAGACGAGAAGACCCUUUGGAGCUUAAGACUUAAGAUCAACUAUGUCAAGAAUCACAAACAAGAUUAAACUAAAUAGCAACUGAUCCCUGUCUUCGGUUGGGGCGACCGCGGGAGAAAACAAAGCUCCCACGCGGACCGGGAUAAUAUCCUAAAACUAAGAGAGACAUCUCUAAGUCACAGAAUUUCUGACCACAAAGAUCCGGCAUCAUGCCGAUCAACGGACCAAGUUACCCUAGGGAUAACAGCGCAAUCCCCUUUAAGAGUCCAUAUCGACAAGGGGGUUUACGACCUCGAUGUUGGAUCAGGACAUCCUAAUGGUGCAGCCGCUAUUAAGGGUUCGUUUGUUCAACGAUUAAAGUCCUACGUGAUCUGAGUUCAGACCGGA